GUAAGACCUUUAACCAAAGUUUGGCAUGCGACGGGUAAGGUGACCUCUGACAUUUCACUAAAGUUUGGCAAGCGACAGGUAAGAUGACCUCUGACCUUUUACUAAAGUUUGUCAACCCAUUACCAGAGUUUGGCAUGCGAUGGGUAAAGCGACCUCUGACCCACUACCAGAGUUUGGCAUGCAACAGGUAAGGCGACCUCUGACCUUUUAGCAGAGUUUGCCAUGUGAAGAGUAAGGCGACCUCUGACCUUUUACCAGAGUUUACCAUGCGACGGGUAAGGUGACCUUUGACCCCUUACCAGAGUUUGCCAUGUGACACGUAAGAUGACUGCUGACACCUGCUGGAUGUGAUGUAAUUAAAGGGUAGGACCAAGAGAUGGGAAGUAUAGGACCGGUAAGAUGACCGCUGUAACAGAACCAUGGUUGUUUAGCAUUUUCGAUUCAACCAAGGAUAUAGACAAGCCUCUUACAGCAUUGUUAAGGGUCCUUGCAGAAAUGAGUAUAACAUUUGCCAUGUUGUCCUGAAACUACUAUGGCCACAACACAAUGUGACCUAAAUUCAGUUCUUUGGAAUGAGACGAGAAGU